AUUGAACGCUGGCGGCAGGCUUAACACAUGCAAGUCGAGCGGGGGAAGGUAGCUUGCUACCGGACCUAGCGGCGGACGGGUGAGUAAUGCUUAGGAAUCUGCCUAUUAGUGGGGGACAACAUCUCGAAAGGGAUGCUAAUACCGCAUACGUCCUACGGGAGAAAGCAGGGGAUCUUCGGACCUUGCGCUAAUAGAUGAGCCUAAGUCGGAUUAGCUAGUUGGUGGGGUAAAGGCCUACCAAGGCGACGAUCUGUAGCGGGUCUGAGAGGAUGAUCCGCCGCACUGGGACUGGGACACGGCCCCGACUCCUACGGGAGGCAGCAGUGGGGAAUAUUGGACAAUGGGGGGAACCCUGAUCCAGCCAUGCCGCGUGUGUGAAGAAGGCCUUAUGGUUGUAAAGCACUUUAAGCGAGGAGGAGGCUACUUUAGUUAAUACCUAGAGAUAGUGGACGUUACUCGCAGAAUAAGCACCGGCUAACUCUGUGCCAGCCGCCAGUAA
rnacentral:rRNA from 1 species